AGUGAACGCUGGCGGUAGGCCUAACACAUGCAAGUCGAACGGCAGCACAGUAAGAGCUUGCUCUUACGGGUGGCGAGUGGCGGACGGGUGAGGAAUACAUCGGAAUCUACUUUUUCGUGGGGGAUAACGUAGGAAAACUUACGCUAAUACCGCAUACGACCUACGGGUGAAAGCAGGGGAUCUUCGGACCUUGCGCGAUUGAAUGAGCCGAUGUCGGAUUAGCUAGUUGGGGGGGUAAAGGCCCACCAAGGCGACGAUCCGUAGCUGGUCUGAGAGGAUGAUCGGCCACACUGGAACUGAGACACGGUCCAGACUCCUACGGGAGGCAGCAGUGGGGAAUAUUGGACAAUGGGCGCAAGCCUGAUCCAGCCAUACCGCGUGGGUGAAGAAGGCCUUCGGGUUGUAAAGCCCUUUUGUUGGGAAAGAAAAGCAGCAGGUUAAUACCCCGCUGUUCUGACGGUACCCAAAGAAUAAGCACCGGCUAACUUCGUG
rnacentral:rRNA from 1 species